GCCUUGCCCUAGAAUGACCACUGCUCUUGUGAAACUUCCAUUUGCUGUGUGGCCCUUGUAGGCCUCAAGAGUGUGAUGAGUGCAGUGAUUAAUGUUUGAGGGAGUCCCAUCUUGGAAAAAGGCCAUUCCGAGGAAAGAGGUGGCGGGCAAAAGAUGAAAUGAAGAGAAGGAGGAAAAUAUGAUAAGUCUUCUCCCUGAUGCUUGCAGCAUGACUUGCAGUUUACAAAAACACUGAAGUCCCAUUAGCUAUGUGCUAAGUUAAUACGCUUUCAUAUCUGAAGAUCAGACUCAGUUUUGGUGGCAUGCUAGCUCUGGGAGUGUUCCAAGAGGUACUGCAAGUACAUCCUUACUCUUCCGUGUUUAUGGACUGGAUAAGAUUAAGCUGGGUCUGUGUAGUAGCUGGUUACUCUGCUCUUAAACAUGUAAAUGAAAUGGCUACAUCUCCAGUAUUUUGCCUGACUGUG